rnacentral:rRNA from 1 species
UACAGAGACUGCAAGCGUUAUUCGGAUUUACUGGGCGUAAAGGGCGCGUAGGCGGUCAGCACAAGUCAGUUGUGAAAUCUCCGGGCUUAACUCGGAAAGGUCAACUGAUACUGUGCGACUAGAGUGCGGAAGGGGCAACUGGAAUUCUCGGUGUAGCGGUGAAAUGCGUAGAUAUCGAGAGGAACACCUGCGGCGAAGGCGGGUUGCUGGGCCGACACUGACGCUGAUGCGCGAAAGCCAGGGGAGCGAACGGG